rnacentral:rRNA from 1 species
UUAAGUUAUUAAGGGCGCACGGUGGAUGCCUUGGCACUAGAAGCCGAUGAAGGACGUUACUAACGACGAUAUGCUUUGGGGAGCUGUAAGUAAGCUUUGAUCCAGAGAUUUCCGAAUGGGGAAACCCAGCAUGAGUUAUGUCAUGUUAUCGAUAUGUGAAUACAUAGCAUAUCAGAAGGCACACCCGGAGAACUGAAACAUCUUAGUACCCGGAGGAAGAGAAAGAAAAUUCGAUUCCCUUAGUAGCGGCGAGCGAAACGGGAAGAGCCCAAACCAACAAGCUUGCUUGUUGGGGUUGUAGGACACUCUAUACGGAGUUACAAAGGACGACAUUAGACGAAUCAUCUGGAAAGAUGAAUCAAAGAAGGUAAUAAUCCUGUAGUCGAAAAUGUUGUCUCUCUUGAGUGGAUCCUGAGUACGACGGAGCACGUGAAAUUCCGUCGGAAUCUGGGAGGACCAUCUCCUAAGGCUAAAUACUCUCUAGUGACCGAUAGUGAACCAGUACCGUGAGGGAAAGGUGAAAAGCACCCCGGAAGGGGAGUGAAAUAGAACCUGAAACCGUGUGCUUACAAGUAGUCAGAGCCCGUUAAUGGGUGAUGGCGUGCCUUUUGUAGAAUGAACCGGCGAGUUACGAUUUGAUGCAAGGUUAAGCAGUAAAUGUGGAGCCGUAGCGAAAGCGAGUCUGAAUAGGGCGUUUAGUAUUUGGUCGUAGACCCGAAACCAGGUGAUCUACCCUUGGUCAGGUUGAAGUUCAGGUAACACUGAAUGGAGGACCGAACCGACUUACGUUGAAAAGUGAGCGGAUGAACUGAGGGUAGCGGAGAAAUUCCAAUCGAACCUGGAGAUAGCUGGUUCUCUCCGAAAUAGCUUUAGGGCUAGCCUCAAGUGAUGAUUAUUGGAGGUAGAGCACUGUUUGGACGAGGGGCCCCUCUCGGGUUACCGAAUUCAGACAAACUCCGAAUGCCAAUUAAUUUAACUUGGGAGUCAGAACAUGGGUGAUAAGGUCCGUGUUCGAAAGGGAAACAGCCCAGACCACCAGCUAAGGUCCCAAAAUAUAUGUUAAGUGGAAAAGGAUGUGGCGUUGCCCAGACAACUAGGAUGUUGGCUUAGAAGCAGCCAUCAUUUAAAGAGUGCGUAAUAGCUCACUAGUCGAGUGACACUGCGCCGAAAAUGUACCGGGGCUAAACAUAUUACCGAAGCUGUGGAUUGUCCUUUGGACAAUGGUAGGAGAGCGUUCUAAGGGCGUUGAAGCAUGAUCGUAAGGACAUGUGGAGCGCUUAGAAGUGAGAAUGCCGGUGUGAGUAGCGAAAGACGGGUGAGAAUCCCGUCCACCGAUUGACUAAGGUUUCCAGAGGAAGGCUCGUCCGCUCUGGGUUAGUCGGGUCCUAAGCUGAGGCCGACAGGCGUAGGCGAUGGAUAACAGGUUGAUAUUCCUGUACCACCUAUAAUCGUUUUAAUCGAUGGGGGGACGCAGUAGGAUAGGCGAAGCGUGCGAUUGGAUUGCACGUCUAAGCAGUAAGGCUGAGUAUUAGGCAAAUCCGGUACUCGUUAAGGCUGAGCUGUGAUGGGGAGAAGACAUUGUGUCUUCGAGUCGUUGAUUUCACACUGCCGAGAAAAGCCUCUAGAUAGAAAAUAGGUGCCCGUACCGCAAACCGACACAGGUAGUCAAGAUGAGAAUUCUAAGGUGAGCGAGCGAACUCUCGUUAAGGAACUCGGCAAAAUGACCCCGUAACUUCGGGAGAAGGGGUGCUCUUUAGGGUUAACGCCCAGAAGAGCCGCAGUGAAUAGGCCCAAGCGACUGUUUAUCAAAAACACAGGUCUCUGCUAAACCGUAAGGUGAUGUAUAGGGGCUGACGCCUGCCCGGUGCUGGAAGGUUAAGAGGAGUGGUUAGCUUCUGCGAAGCUACGAAUCGAAGCCCCAGUAAACGGCGGCCGUAACUAUAACGGUCCUAAGGUAGCGAAAUUCCUUGUCGGGUAAGUUCCGACCCGCACGAAAGGCGUAACGAUUUGGGCACUGUCUCAACGAGAGACUCGGUGAAAUCAUAGUACCUGUGAAGAUGCAGGUUACCCGCGACAGGACGGAAAGACCCCGUGGAGCUUUACUGUAGCCUGAUAUUGAAAUUCGGCACAGCUUGUACAGGAUAGGUAGGAGCCUUUGAAACGUGAGCGCUAGCUUACGUGGAGGCGCUGGUGGGAUACUACCCUAGCUGUGUUGGCUUUCUAACCCGCACCACUUAUCGUGGUGGGAGACAGUGUCANGCGGGCAGUUUGACUGGGGCGGUCGCCUCCUAAAAGGUAACGGAGGCGCUCAAAGGUUCCCUCAGAAUGGUUGGAAAUCAUUCAUAGAGUGUAAAGGCAUAAGGGAGCUUGACUGCGAGACCUACAAGUCGAGCAGGGUCGAAAGACGGACUUAGUGAUCCGGUGGUUCCGCAUGGAAGGGCCAUCGCUCAACGGAUAAAAGCUACCCCGGGGAUAACAGGCUUAUCUCCCCCAAGAGUUCACAUCGACGGGGAGGUUUGGCACCUCGAUGUCGGCUCAUCGCAUCCUGGGGCUGUAGUCGGUCCCAAGGGUUGGGCUGUUCGCCCAUUAAAGCGGUACGCGAGCUGGGUUCAGAACGUCGUGAGACAGUUCGGUCCCUAUCCGUCGUGGGCGUAGGAAAUUUGAGAGGAGCUGUCCUUAGUACGAGAGGACCGGGAUGGACAUACCUCUGGUGUACCAGUUGUCGUGCCAACGGCAUAGCUGGGUAGCUAUGUGUGGACGGGAUAAGUGCUGAAAGCAUCUAAGCAUGAAGCCCCCCUCAAGAUGAGAUUUCCCAACUUCGGUUAUAAGAUCCCUCAAAGAUGAUGAGGUUAAUAGGUUCGAGGUGGAAGCAUGGUGACAUGUGGAGCUGACGAAUACUAAUCGAUCGAAGACUUAAUCAA